ensembl:lncRNA BETALINC1 Beta cell long intergenic noncoding RNA 1
GGCCAAGGUUUUUACUUGGAAAAGAAACCGCACACUUCGAAUCACAGAAGUGUUUACAUAGGGCAGGCUGGAGGGGACGAGAGAGACCUUGGUUGAUGGUGACUCAGUUCAUAAACACAGCAUCAAUAUUGAUAGACUCCAAAAGAUGCAUAUGCAGGACAUCUCUCGGGAUUUGCAGGGACCGACUGUUCAGGUGAACAUCCCGUACUGUUCGUUCGAGCAGGACACGGCAGAUGCUUCUUUCUUGUUUUAUGGAGGGUGGUGGUGGAUUACUCUUCCCAUCUUGUGCUUUUGAGGAUGCUCCAAAAACUUUAAAAAUUUAUCCAUGUUCCCUUUCACACAGUGGGUGUUUCUUUCCUCAGGCAGAAGGAAAACUUACCAAUGGUUUUUGAAUAUGAUAGGAAAGACCACCUGCAGGGAGAGAGUGGGACCCCUGCUCUCUGCCUCUG